GUUCUUUUCCGGUUCUGUUGAGAUAUUUGCAUGAAUUACAAGGAUCAUUCUUUUAGUUAUCUUGCAUUGGGGGUGGGGUGUGUCUGCAUUUGAGUGCAUAGUCUAGAUUGUGAACAGGCUUCAUGUAACGACCCAAGGAAAGGCCAAGUUAUAUCUACGCUUGUAUUCCGAAAGGACCGAUCAAUGUUACAAUUAGAACCCCUCGAAAUCAUUAUAAUUUACUUGAACUUUCUCGCCCGGCAUAUGUGGAAUCUCAUUCACCACCUUUUUGUUAUUUAGCCAAGUUAUUAAAAUCUCUUCCCUUAGAUCUAUAACGUCCUCGUCAGGUCAUUACUAAGGUGGACAUGGCUCAAGCCUCAUUCGGCACCCUUCUAUACCUAGUCCAAGGUAUUACAUGUUAUCUAGAGAUCCACAUUGCCUGGCAGAGAAAAUAUCUUGUGGUUUAUAAUAAUUUCAAGGGGUUUCAUGGGUCAUUAAACUUCUUCCGAACAAAAGCUUUUUCAUGUUUAAUAAUAUAUUGAUUCUUUUAUUUGUUGUUGUCUUAAAAGGCUUGUAAGAACAGAGCUUUGGAUGAGGUUGUGUUUAUAACUUAUUGGGUUGCGUGUAACUUACUAGUAAACAAGAAAGGCUUGUAUAUAAGAUGAUUGACUAAGAAAAUUCAAUUUUCUUUCCUGAUGCUCUCAAGACGUUUUUUUUUUUUUUUUCUCCUCAUAAAAGGGCAGGAGGGGUUAACUAGAGGUGACUUCCUUACCUGGACGUAACUAUAGUAGCACCCUACCUGCUGAGAACUGGAUAGGAGGGGCCUAGAAUGAGGGAAGCUGCAGUCGCUCCCUAAAGUUGGGAUUGAGCCAUAGCUUAGACCACAGCUCCACUAGAGAAUUCAAUAAAUUGUUAGGCAGCUAAUACUAAUCAUCUAAGGUGAGUCCAUAGUUGGAUUCGAACCCAAGACCUAGUACGUGCCAAACCACUUGGGAGUAACCCAAGGAUCAUUGAGCCACCACCCUUGGUGGUGGUGCUCUCUAGACUUUGUCUAACUUCUUUUACUCCUUUUAUUUUUCGGUGAAGCACUGUCAUUUUCCACAAGCAAUUUUGGUUCAGAUGAGCCACAUGCAGCAAGUAAGGCCUGGCAAGAUGUUCUUGAGAAACAAGAUAUAGAUGUAUCUUAAGUUCUGAACUUCUGCUUCACCCAAAGUUGUAUCGACGAAAGCUGAAAAAUGGAUUGCAUUAUCCUAUUUUACCAAAUAAUGUACCACAAAAUAGGUAUGGACUGUAUGGUUUAUCCAGACCUAAAAAGCUUACAUGUAAAGAUAGGGCAGGAUAAGAUAAUACCUGAUUUUGAUGAGCAUGAAUUUGACAUGGGGCUCACUUGAUUUGGUCAAAUAAUGCUUUAUUUAGUGGCACAAUCAAAAUUGGAAGAAAUGCACAUGGAGGAGAAGGAUGUCCAGAACAAUCUGCAAAGAAAACUUCGUGGUCAAUUGCUUUUCUUUGGCAUCACUAUGGGGCUGCUGGCUGAGAUCAUCAAUUCAAGGCAAAACUGAUCCUUCUAAGAUAUGAAGCUGAAAUUAAGUCAAAUGCCUAUUGGCUUGGAUUGUUGGGCCACUUGCAGGCGGCUUUUGUUCCAAGGAAGGACAUAUCAUGCAUCAAAGAUCUUAUACCACAAUAUGAAGCUGCCAGCAUCGAAGACCUUGCUUAUGAUCAGUUGAAAGUAGAUGAGAAUUCUUUAUGUUCAUGUGUUGGGAUUCUUGGGGCUCAGGCUGGUAACGAAAUUACCAGUGAGGAUGAAUCGCAUGAAGGCUUUCCUGGAGUUAUUCCCAUGGGACGUGUUUUAUCUACAAUGUCCCGGCCAGCCUACAGCAUGAGCUUCCUAGAUCACACUUUCUUUCUGUCUUGCUGUCUUCUAGGGAAUAUAUAUUGAACAUCGAAGGUAUGACUUUUAGUUCUCUGUAAAAUGCAUUUCUAUAUCUCCAAUAACUAGCUUUAAGCGCCCAAAUCCUAUAGUUCUCUUUAUAUCAUAAUCAUAACCCCAUGAAGCAGUAUGCUUAUGUUUACGAGGAAGUGCUUGCCCAUUUUGUAGCCAUCAUCGAUCAGGGUAUCUUCUAUUUAUUCUGAUCACCAAAACCUGACAUCCCAUGGUCUUCUUUCCUUAAUGGCAUCUUGUGACCUGAAGCAAAAGACAAGAUGAUGAUUAUGAUGAGCACUAGAGAUUCAUUCCUUACAGAGUAUGAGAUGCUGUGAAUAAGGUCUCAGUAACAAAAUAAUGUAAUCAUAGACAGCUGUGCUUGAUCUUUUUGCAGCAUCUUGACGUGAUGAAGGAACAGACAAACCUUUGCCAGCUCAAAUUACAACAGACAACCCCGAGUGCUGCAGUCGAGUCCAAUUUUUUUGUUAGUGCAGUCAUUUUUGGUCUAGACUCUAGAAUAUGUCACAUAAUCAAAGCUUUACCAAAUUUUCGAUAUAUAGUUAGCUUUAGAUACUAUAAUGAUGAGAUUAUUGUGUGAAACUGCCCCCUUUUGAGCUGGGUAAUAGGAGGCAAACACAUUUUUGGCAUUUGUCAGAUUUACU